GUCUACGGCCAUGCCACCCUGAACAAGCCCAAUCCCAUCUGAUCUUGGAAGCUAAGCAGGGUCAGGCCUAGUUAAUACUUGGAUGGGAGACCACCUAGAAAGACUAGGUGCUGUAGGCA
rnacentral:rRNA from 1 species